CCCUGACUCAAGAAAUUUAGUAUGUAAUAAUAUGGAACUAAACUAGGAGUAGUUGUAGCAUUCACUAACAUGCUUAUCCAUGCAUUAUUUCAAUUGUGCCUUUCUUGAGCCUGUAAUGGUUAAAUGCUGUCUGGUGUCAGAAACCAGGUCGUUGUAUUUUUUGUAUGAAUUGUUUCUCAUUUUGUUAUGCCUGACUGGAAUACUAUAUAGGUUUUCCUCAUUAUUGAAGGCUGUACAAUUACCUAAAAUUGCUUUAAUCAAUGUCAUGUAGACUCUGUUGUUAUCCAUUCGUUUUAUGUGUUUCAGCUUUUGAUUUUGCCAUUUUAUAAGGGAUUUUCCUUUUUGAAUUUCCCUCGGAGUUCCAUAUUUGUGUGAUUUUACAUUGGAUAGUUGUCUCAAUGGCAAUCAUACCACAUGUCCCUUUAUGUAUACAGUGUAACCUGUGUUAUCCGACACACUGGGGUACCAGGAAAAAAUGUUGGAAUGCAUAGGGUGUUGGAAUACUCAGUUUUUUUUCUGCAAGGAUAGCACAUUUGGGGCCUAUGUGAAUUGUUCAUCCUAAUAAUCUAUUAUUGUUUUGAUAAAAUAGAUGCAAAGUUCUAUAUACACUGUUUAUUCAUAUUAACAUUUAGCAUUUAAGAGUUGCAAUUACAAAUAGAAUAGUCAUUAAUCAUGUCACAAAAUAAAUCAAUAUGUCAAUAUGUUGUUGGUACAUGUAGCUUGUGUGCUAAUAGUAUAAAUAAUUAAUUUGAAAUAAUCAAUUUAUUUUUUUGCAUGGUGGACUCAAACUAAUAAAGGCUUCCAACCCUAUUGGAACAGUUCUAAAGGAAAUCAGGCAUUUGAAAUGAGCUCUUUGUAGUAAACAAAUUAUAGUUAUAAGAUACAAUUAUGGAUAUACAAAAUAUAAUACAUUAUCUAUAUAAUUAAAUGCAUCUUAAUUGUGACCAAGUAGGCUGUCAUAUUACAUAGGAAGUGAAAAUUCUCAGUUAAAAAGUUUAUUUUUAAAAGCCUUAUUUGUAACUACACCAAUACACUUGUGCUCAAGUGUUCUGUACUAAAGUCAUGCAACUCUCAAAGGAAACUUGAGUCUUUCUUUUGGAAGAUUAAAAUCUCUUUGUAUUUUUCUUUAUUUCCUUUUUCCCUUUUUUUUGGAGAUUCUUUUUAAUUGUUCUGUCUGUUUUAAUACACUGGAAUUUUCAUAUAUUUUUUUCUUUUGUAUUUUAAAAACUUCCUUUUUCUCAGGGAUUUCUCUAAAAAUUCAACUGGUUGUUAAAGGGAAACUUCGCAAAAAAAUCAAAAAUUGAUAUUAUGUUUAUUCUGUAUAAAAAUGCUCAAAUUCAUAGAUAUUAAAGUUUUAUUCUGCUAGAUAAGAGAUCACCAUCAAUUUUAAAUUUAGAGUAUCAAUUCUCUGCGGUCAGCCAUUUUGUCACCUUCUCCGAUUUGCAGUCACGAUAUGUCUAAGGACCAAAACUACAGUAACCCGAUGUAGUCGUAAUUGCGUGUCGAUAUCUCGUCAAUCGUAUGGUUGUGUUAUCCGACUAGUUAACUAGUAAACUAACUUGAUACGGAAAAUAAUUUCUCUCUUUUUUUUUUAAAUAACC
rnacentral:lncRNA from 1 species